rnacentral:rRNA from 1 species
AUCGAUGAAGAACGCAGCGAAUUGCGAUAUGUAAUGUGAAUUGCAGAAUUCAGUGAAUCAUCGAAUCUUUGAACGCACCUUGCACCCUUUGGUAUUCCGAAGGGUAUGCCUGUUUGAGUGUCAUUAAAUUCUCAACUUCAAAAGGCUUUUUGUCUUUUUUGAAGCUUGGACUAUGGAAGCUUGCUGGUAUCACUAUCAGCUCUUCUUAAAUGCAUUAGCGGAACUUUAAGGACCAGCUUUGGUUUGAUAAUCCUAUCUAUGCCGCUGCUGUGGACUUGUGUGUUCAGCUUCUAAUGGUCUUCGGACUGUCUCCAUUGUGAGGCAUACACUUUUAAGCUUGACCUCAAAUCAGGUAGGACUACCCGCUGAACUUAAGCAUAUCAAUAAGCGGAGGAAAAGAAACUAACAAGGAUUCCCCUAGUAACUGCGAGUGAAGAGGGAAAAGCUCAAAUUUAAAAUCUGGCCGUUCUUGCAGCGGUCCGAGUUGUAGUUUAGAGAAGUGUUAUCCGCGCUGGCCUGUGCAAAAGUUUCUUGGAAAAGAACAUCAUAGAGGGUGACAAUCCCGUCUUUGGCAUGGACAACCAGGGCAUUUGUGAUGCGCUCUCGACGAGUCGUGUUGUUUGGGAAUGCAGCACUAAAUGGGUGGUAAAUUCCAUCUAAAGCUAAAUAUUGGCGAGAGACCGAUAGCGAACAAGUACCGUGAGGGAAAGAUGAAAAGAACUUUGAAAAGAGAGUUAAACAGUACGUGAAAUUGUUGAAAGGGAAACGCUUGAAGUCAGUCGUGUCCUCCAGUGAUCAAGUUGCCCUUGGGUGACCGUACUUUCUGGUGGAUGGGUCAGCAUCAAUUUUGACUGUUGGAUAAAGGCUGAGGGAAUGUGGCAUCUUCGGAUGUGUUAUAGACCUUGGUUGUAUACAAUGGUUGGGAUUGAGGAACUCAGUGUGCCUUUAUGGUUGGGGCUUGCUCACACCACACACUUAGGAUGCUGGCGUAAUGGCUUUAAUCGACCCGUCUUGAAACACGG